ensembl:processed_transcript
GGAGGGAGGGAGAGAGAGAGAGAGCAAGCAAAAAGUGGUGAAGUGAUGUUUAUUUUCCAUUUUGGUUUUCCCUUUGGUUUUAGGGUAAACAUCUUCACUAGUUUCCUGUCACCAGAUACUUAGGUGGCACAGAUGUCUGCAAGGCCAUUCUUGUGUCCUUGAGCCUCUCUGCCCCAGCACUGCCUGAAGCUCACCUGCAGCCCAUCUUCCAGGCCCUGAACAAUUAAAGGCCAUAGGCUCAGAGUUGGUUUUGAUCAGUUUCUACCCAUGCAGGUGAGUUUUAUUUUAACUUGGCACAAGCUAGAGUCCUCAGAGAGGAGGGAUCCUCAGUAGAAGAGAUGCCUCUAUAAGAUCAGGCUGUAGGCAAGCCUGUAGGGUAUUUUCUUAAUUAGUAAUUUAUGUGGGAGGCCCAGCCCAUUGUGGGUGAUGACAUCCUUGGGCUGGUGGCCCUGGGUUCUAGAAGAAAUAAAAGUUUUUCCCGCCUUGCUUUUGGUCAUGGUGUUUCAUCACAGCAAUAGAACGUAAGUUCGCACCACAGCCUUUCCCUCUGCCAGGUUCAGGCAAGCCUGAGGCAGCAGUCGCUGUGGCUGCUCAUCGAUCUCAUCGCCAGACCCUCAUCUGCUAUUGUCCCGAAGCCUGAGACUAGGCCUCCUACCUCGGAAGCUCCUCGGGCCCCUUCACACCGCCGCCUGCUUACUAAUCUCCAUGGACAGCUUGAUUUCUCAUUUGCUUAAGCAACUCGUUUAUUCUCUUUACACUUAGUUCCUAAACUCCCACCCUUGUAAAAGGCAAUUUUAUGUUUAAAAUGUCUUCUCUCUGUAUAUUAUAAUAAAUUAUAUUAAUAAAAUCGGAUUUUAAAA